rnacentral:lncRNA from 12 species
CCAGAAGUAGCCGUAUGUCUCCAACCACAGGAAAUCAAAGGAGGCUUCAUGCAUUUCUGGUGGACGUGAAGACAGCUGUAUUCAUUUUGCAGAAAAACAUGACAAUACCUAGUCAAGGUAAGCUAUGGCUCCAUUCCCUUCCCAAGAUCAAUGACUUUUUAAUGUUUCUCCCUUUCAGACCAAGGGACAAACAUCUCUUAACUGCUUUCAGCUUGGGAUGCUGUAGGGUCUCAGUUUUGUGUCCUAGAUGAUUCAUUAUUGCAUUAGACCCUCCUAGAAAAUGAAAAAAAUAUUCUUGCAUUGGAAUUUCCAAUACCAAUGAAAUAGAUACUUAAAACUUUUAGGUCUUUCUUGAAUGAAACUAGUUUCUUUUGACAUUAUUUUUUUUUAAUGUCAAAUUUUUUUAUUGUAAACAAUAAAAAAUUCAAAAUGAAGGAUAUCUUUCAUACAGAUAUUUCCUAAUAACCCAUGACAAAUAGUGAUUUUAAGCUAUCUACUCUUGUUUUAAGAAUUGGAUCUUUCUGCUCACCUUGGGACCAUCGUCACCAUGAAGACAGAGAUUCCAGUCUUGUCCAGCUUCUCUGGUAUCCUGUUUUGCUGCCUCAAUGCCUCAGAAUUUUGGUGUCGUUGGUGUCAGACACCACCUUGCUGUCUACGAUCUUGCGGGUGAUGGUCUUCUGGAUGGUCUGCAAGGAGUUGCUGUUGUCCAGGGCAUCAGUAAGACUGAAGUCCUCCCUGUCUUCCAACAGGCGACAGUAGGUGGCAAUCUCAGCCUCCAGCUUGACCUUGACAUUCAGCAGGGUCUCAUACUCCUGGGCCUGGCACCUGCCCCUCUGCCCGGGUCUGGGACAACUCAGACUCCAGGUGCAGCAGGAUCCCGUUGAGCUGCUCCAUUUCCAUCACGUAGCAGGUGUCGACCUCCCUCAGGCUGUUCUCCAAGCUGGCCUUCAGGUUUCUCAUUGAGUCCAGGUUGAUCUCCAAGGACUGGGCCGUCUGUCCAUCUCAGCUCCAUGAGGGUCAUCUCAGCUUCUCCUAUCUCAGCGGUCUGUGUGGUGACCACUGUGGUGCUCUCCUUGAUCUGCUGGGACCAGUACUUGUCCAGCUCCUUCCAGUUCUUCUAAGCCAGCUUGUCAUACUGGGCCUGGAUAUUUGCCAUGAUCUUGCUGAGGUCCUGAGAUUUGGGGGCAUCCAACUCCACUGUCAACCAGAGUUGGCGGUUUGGUUUUGUAGACCCUUUACUUCCUCCUCAUGGUUCUUCUUCAUGAAGAGCAGCUCCUCCUUGAGAGCCUCGAUCUCUGUCUCUAACUUCAGCUGAGUGACAUUGGUGUCAUCAAUGACCUUGUAGAGCCCAUGAAUGUCACUCUCCACAGACUGGCGCAUGGCCAGCUCCGUCUCAUACUUGAUUCGGAAGUCAUCAGCAGCAAGCCGGGCGUUGUCAAUCUGCAGAACGACGCGGGCAUUGUGUCAAUGUCUAUUUUGAUGUCUUAUGUUAUUUCUGUUGUUUCCUAGACUUCUUAAAAAUUACCCCCACCCCACAAAUAUACUUCUACUUGAUCAAAUUAAUGACAUAGGACACAUAUUGUCAUUCUUUGCUUCUGAAACUCAAAUAAAUGUCUCCUCUACAGGGAGUGUUAAUCUGCC